rnacentral:rRNA from 1 species
CCCCUAGAUGUUCUGGGCCGCACGCGCGCUACACUGAACAGUUCAACAAGUCUUAACCUUGGCCGAUAGGUCUGGGUAAUCUUUGAACGCUGUUCGUGAUUGGGAUAGACCUUUGCAAUUAUGGGUCUUCAACGAGGAAUUCCUAGUAAACGCAAGUCAUCAGCUUGCAUUGAUUACGUCCCUGCCCUUUGUACACACCGCCCGUCGCACCUACCGAUUGAAUGGUCCGGUGAAAUCUUCGGAUCUGAGAGAUGUCUGAUUAAUUUCGGACGCCUUUUGGAAAAGUUGCUUAAACCUUNCNAUUUAUNGGAAGGUGAANUCGUANCA